CCUACGGGUGGCUGCAGUGGGGGAUAUUGCACAAUGGGGGGAACCCUGAUGCAGCGACGCCGCGUGGGUGAAGAAGCGCCUCGGCGCGUAAAGCUCUGUCAGCAGGGAAGAAAAUGACGGUAGCUGAAGAAGAAGCCCCGGCUAACGACGUGCCAGCAGCCGCGGGAAUACGUAGGGGGCAAGUGUUAUCCGGAUUUACUGGGUGUUAAGGUGGCGCAGAUGGUGAUGCAAGCCAGGAGUGAAAGUCCGGGGCCCAACCCCGGGACUGAUGUUGGCACUGGGUGGCUGGAGUGCAGGAGGGGCAGGCGGAAUUCGUGGUGUAGCGGUGAAAUGCGUAGAUAUCACGAAGAACACCGAUGGCGAAGGCAGCCUGCUGGACUGUAACUGACGUUGAGGCCCGAAAGCGUGGGGAGCAAACAGGAUUAGAUACCCUAGUAGUC
rnacentral:rRNA from 1 species